rnacentral:misc_RNA from 1 species
UUGAUUUAUUCAAGGAAUAAAAUGUGUUCGCAUCCGACUUACGUCUUCAGCUUAAAACAUGGUGUGGAAUUUAGACAUCUUUCAGCCUGAAAUUCGGUAAUGAUCCUUCCGCAGGUUCACCUACGGAAA